rnacentral:rRNA from 1 species
UACGUAGGAUGCAAGCGUUGUUCGGAAUUACUGGGCGUAAAGAGUACGUAGGCGGUUUGACAAGUCUGAAAUUAAAGACUGGGGCUUAACCUCAGGAAUGUAUCGGAAACUGUCAGACUAGAGGACAAUAGAGGAGGUCGGAAUUCUCAGUGUAGCGGUGAAAUGCGUAGAUAUUGGGAAGAACACCAGUGGCGAAAGCGGACUUCUGGGUUGUUACUGACGCUGAGGUACGAAAGCGUGGGGAGCAAACGGG